GCAAGACUUGAGUUCAGGACUCCCAAUCCUUCGCCAUCCGAACCUGGAGGGCAUCCAGUCGACACCUACAGGGGUCGGACAUGUCCAAGGCUAACUGAGAGGCCUUCCAGACGCUUCAUUUUUGUUGUUUGGGUUUGCGGCAGGGCACAAAGAGGGUGAGGUAGAAUGCCGUAGUGGCUCCCUCCGGUUCUUCGCCACUCUCUUGGGCUGGGGGAACGAGGCCCUUUCGGGGACCCGUAGCAGACUGGUGGGUGUUAGAGGAAGCGGGGAGACGGCGCGUGCACUGUGUUCCUGGUCCUGGGUUCCAGAGGAUGACACUGAGCCUGUCGCAGCCACGUUGGGGUUCCGCACUGAAGCCAAAAGGUUUCGCGUCUCCCAGCGUCCCCGACCGGAAGUCGCCUCUUGGUCUUUGCGAUCUUUUUCUCUGGCUCAAUUUGGGCUGAUUCCGUUUGUGUCCGCAAUUCCUAAAUCGAGUUUCUUGAAAAGAGACACUGGUCUUAAGGGUUAAGACGAAAGGUACUGAAAAUGGCGGGUGAAAAAGUUGAGAAGCCAGAUACUAAAGAGAAGAAACCCGAAGCCAAGAAGGUUGAUGCUGGUGGCAAGGUGAAAAAGGGUAACCUCAAAGCUAAAAAGCCCAAGAAGGGGAAGCCCCAUUGCAGCCGCAACCCUGUCCUUGUCAGAGGAAUUGGCAGGUAUUCCCGAUCUGCCAUGUAUUCCAGAAAGGCCAUGUACAAGAGGAAGUACUCAGCCGCUAAAUCCAAGG
rnacentral:lncRNA from 1 species